GCAUUUUUCUUGUUGGCUGGGAGAGCUCCUGGAACGUUUCCGAGAAGAGUUAGCUAUGAUAGCAAUGGAGUGUGCACACGUGAUUUAAUUAAAAUGGAGAGCUUCACGGUGAUUGAUGGCUUGUCCUUUGGAAAAAGGUCAUUGAUUUAAGAAGAGAAGUCAAGGUCUUGAAUAGCAUUUCUAUCUUGUCAUUAAUGCAAGGGUGAAACUUGUUCCCGUGAAUGAAGAGUUGGUUAGGUGGUAGAGGGGCUGCUGCCACGUCCAAACUUCCACGGUUUGAAGGGUGACUCAAUCUUCUUUUCUUCUUGAAAGUGUGGGGUCUGGUGCCUUAAUGCCCUUGAGCUUUGUGAUUGGACUUUUAUUUCCUAUGGGAGAAAAGUGUUGCAGCUUACAUUGGGUCUCGGCUUUAGAUGCUGAUACGGUGAUUCCUUCUUUUUGAAAGAAGAGAAUUAAUUUNUUUGCUUUGACGAAAAAGUGAAACAUGGUUACGGGUUGGUGAUGAUUAAAGGAGGGCUCCACUAGUUGAAUGUGGGUUCACAGUAAUGGCUGGAAGGAGUAGCUUUGCUUUUAUUUUGAAAGGAUAAGAAGUAGAAUAGGUGGAAGUAGAAGCUGUCACAUGGUGAUGGGAUGGGAAGGCACAUUUUUAGUCUACUUUAUUCCCUUCGGUGGGACCGAAUUUUUGCCCAACUGCCCCAAGUGUUUCCGUGAGUUGAAGAGGAAAUUAAUUGCUUUAGAAAAAAAUCCUUGUUGCAUCUAGAAGUGAUGGCUUGAUUAGGUGAUUUUGUCAUGG
rnacentral:lncRNA from 1 species